GAGUAAACUUUUUUGAUUUUGAUAAUUAUACUUUGGUUAUAGGGAGAUGUCCUUUUUUUAGAAAGUCAAAUUGAUUCAUUUAGGGGAUGGGGACACAGCCAAACCCUAACAGGGUAGAAGGGCAAACUUGACAUAUUAGUCUUAAAUAAUUAAAAAAAGAGAAGAAUAAGAGAGGAGGAAAAGUCAUAAAUAAAUGGAGCAAAACAUAAACAACUGGUGAAUCUGAAAAUAUCAGUAAAAUACUUUGUGGUUUCUUAUACUUUUCUUGCAACUUUCGUGUUUGAAAGGUUAUCCUCCUUCUGCUCAAAUUUGCCAAAAACAUUUAAAAGUCUAUUAGUGCAAUGUACUGCUGAAUAAAAAGAAAAAUCAGAUGAUUGUCUAAAAUCUCUGAUAAUAGUAUUUUUUAGAAUUGAAAGCCUCAGCAAACUGUAGCAUUUUAAUUG
rnacentral:lncRNA from 1 species